AUUGAAGCUUAGAAUAAUUUGAAGGAUUCAAGGAGAUUUGGAGAUCAAGAAUACAAUUCGUACUUGUGGUCGUUGUAUGCAAAGAGUUCGAAAUUUGAAAAUUGUUCCUUUUGAUGCAGCAAUAGAAAAGACUUUUCAAAGACUUCAGAGGAAAAAUAAAAAAGUUUUUGCUCCAAGUAAAACAAUGGCUAAUCAACAAGAAGAAGAGACCAAGCCUUUGAGGGAUUACUAUGUCCCACAAGUACAAAAUCUCCACUCUAGUAUACAAAGACCUCCUAUUCAAGCCAAAAACUUUGAAAUUAAGCCAUCAAUUACUUAGAUGAUUCAAGCUGUUGUUCAGUUUGGUGGUUUGCCUAAUGAUGAUCCGAAUGCUCAUAUUGUAAAUUUUCUAAACAUUUGCGAUACAUUCGAGGUUAAUGGUGUUACUGAUGAUGCCAUAAGUUUGAGAUUUUUCCCUAUUUUAUUGAGAGAUAAAGCAAAGAGUUGAUUAAA